UGUUCCCGGCUGCCAAAGGAAGGUCUCACUGUGUCUGUUCCAUUUUCAGCAAAUGGAGAGGAUCCUGAAGAAAGCCUCCAAAACUCAUAAACAGAGAGUGGAGGAUUUCAACAGACACUUGGAUGCUCUGACUGAACAUUAUGACAUUCCCAAAGUUAGCUGGACUAAAUGAAUGUUUUCUCUUCCCCAGUUCUGGAUUCUGAGUAGGCUUUUUAUUUAAAGGAAAUAAUUGUACAAAUCUCUGCUCUCCAAGUUGGAUAUUUUAUUAAUGCUAUAUAAACAUUUCUUUCUGGUACUUUUUCAUCAUUCAUUGUUUGUUUAAAACUUAUGUACACAGCUUAGCCUUCUUCUUGAACUAUUAGUAAAGGCCCUGAGCCUCCACUCAGGUGCAAGGAUCCAUCUUUGCAGAGCUCUCUGCAGGAUCAGGGCCAAAGAUAUUUCAGGUUUAUUGGAGAAAUGUAUCUAGUGUAUUGUUCUAAUGUUAGCUGAUAGCUACCCCUUCUCUUUUUUCCUUUGAAAAGGGGAGAUCUUUGACACUGUCCUACAUAAUAAACUUCAUUUAUAAAU